ACAGCACCCCCCAACCCUCCGCCCCGGGGUCCGCGGCUCCAAGCCGCGCGCGCCAGCAGACCCGCGUCUGCGCCCUCAUUACCACUACAAAGCGGGGCCGACUGAGCCUCUUUCCAAAGCUGCGUUUUCAACUGGGAGCAUCUAGAGGCCAGAAACUUCCAAGCCAGCCCGCGGACGCAGACGCCUGCUCGGUCCCGGCUUUAUCUCUAGGGAAAGUUCCAUUUUAAGAGCCAGAUGCCAACAUUCCGGGACAGUUUACGGCAUCCGGAUCCCUCAAGGGGGCUCAUCUGCAGUUCAGUGUUAGUAGCAAUUAUUUAUCGUCUGUCCUGGAGAGGAGCUCCUGGGCAAGGAUGUCCUCUGCUGGCCCUGAAACGGGCUGGGGUGGGGGCACGACUGUUCCCAACGUGUUAUCUGGUUUAGCAGAGUUUGUGGUGGUUUUCGAGGAAACAGCAUUUGGAUUACAUAAGGAUUCAAGUUUUUGCUUUACUUGUUUAUUUAAUACCUUGGCAAGAGGGAGCCCUUACCCUGAAACCAGAUAACCGAAUUUGGGUUUAAGACAGCCUUACGGGAGGGGGGCCACGGGAGGGGAGGAAAAGGAGUAAAGCCACAAAAAGCAAACAAGAGGAUGUUUAUUUUUCUCUCUUUGGGUAUUUUUGAAGACUCGCCUAGCCUCUUCUCCUUCUUGUCGCUCACAGCUAAUGAAUUGCAUUAACAAAGCGCUUCGGCUACCACGAUGGCUUUAACAGUCAUCCCCGCCCGCCGCGAUUCCGGCCCUAAUAAUUCCUUCUAGGACCCGGCGCGCGGGCCUGUUUGCCCAGAGAGCCCAAGAGCACCAGGAAAAACGCCGUACUAAAUCCAAUUGCUUUCCACCGUCUGAUCUCCUUGUAGGGAGAUCACCUUUCAGCUCCGUUUAAAAAAAAAAAAGAGUUUGGGAAAUUUGGCGGAGGGACCUAUUUAGCUACCAGCACAGCAAAUAUUUAGUUACAGAUGCUGUGAAGUACCCCGAUGUGUGGCUGCGUUUGGCGUUCACAAAGGACUGUCCUGUGGCUUUUUGUUCCGGUCACCAAAUUAAAAAAGAAAAUUAACUUGAGCAAGAGAUAAGGUCUUAGAAAACAAUCCCGGGCUGCCCGCGAGCUGGCGGGCGCGGGGCUGGCGUCGCCGAGUCUGCGUCACCCCGAGGCGCGCGUCGCGGGGCCCGGCCCCCGCGGGGAGGCCGGGUCACCGCGGGGAUCCCCGGCCGCCGCGCCUCCUCCGCGCGCCCGAGCGCAGCGGCGUCCGUGGGAACCCGCAGCGGCCCUCUCCAGCCAGCGACAAGGGCGGGCUUGUCCGGAAUCAAGCAACAUCUUAAUAUUAUAAUACGGCACCAAAAGCAACACCCGAGCCCCGGCUUGCGGGUCCCUAACAAGAAACACAUUGUGCGCUCCCUACCCCCACCCCACCCCCUUGUUGGCCGAAGCCACGUUUGCGCGCCAAGUCCAUGACUUCAGUGGGGAGGAACCCGUCCACCCCGCACCACGUGCGCGUCCCCCUCCCGCCGCCUCCCCGCUGCGCCCGGAGGUCCCGGCCCACCGCCGCCGCCGCCGCCGCCGCCGCCGCCGCCGCCGGGGGCCGGGGCGGGGGCCAGGCGCAGGCCCUUCGCGACCCGGGAGGCCAGUGCUGUCCAUCGCCUGAGGCCCUGGUGGCAUCCAGAAGGCGCCAGCUCGGGUGAUUCUGGUCACUGCCCUCUCGGGUUGCUGGUGGAGAGACUUGUGUUUGUAAAAUAGCUCACCCUUCUCUUCCCUACCUACCCAAGUCCUUGUGGCUUUCACUCCCAGAUUCUGCUUCCGACACCCCACCCCGCAGGUCCAUUUACAGACCUCCUCCUUUUGGUUGGACUGACCUCUAGCAAAGGGUUUGCAAGCCCCCCAACACUGCCACUGGCUGCGGGGAGGCCACAGGACUUAGGGCUACAUCCUCUGGGAGCCUGUGAGUUAGGAAAGGCAGAUGUCCGUUUUACAGAGGAAGAAACCGAGGCACAGAUGAAUGACCGACGUGGGCCCACACUCCCAGGACAUCACCCUGUGACAAGGCAGAGGUGUGUGAGCUUGACCCCAGGGAAAUGCACCCCCCGAGGCCCCUCUCCCACGUGAAGAGACUUGCUCCUCCAGAAAUGCCCCAGGGAACAUCCACUGAUCUAGGGCUGACUGGAGCACAGCACCACACCGUUGGAGACCGUAUGGAAGAAAUCGUGGAAACGUGUCAGUGAUUGAGUGAGUUCAGGCAAUGCCAGCGGCUACAACAAACGAGCCCUGAGAUGUGGAAUCGCUUCCACGCGCAGGAAGUUCGUUUCUCACUCCCAGGCCAGGGUGGGUGUUAGCGGCUGGCAGGCCACUCUGCUCCAAGUGAGGACUCGGGGACACAGGCUCUUUCCAUGCACGCGGGUCCACCACGUUGGCCCUGUGCUUCCAGGGUGUCUGGGUUCCUGCCCGAGGACGGGAGGGGGCGUGGAGAAGCCCUUGGGUGGUUUUUCUGGUUCAGGCCCGGAGCUAGCUCACAACACGUCGAGCACUCACAUUCUGUUGGUUAGAGAGGGUUUCUCAGGCUUUCCAGCUGAUGAGAGUCUGUCCUGAGCGGGACGUUCCCUGGCCUCUGCUCCCUCCUCCAGUUGUGACAACCAUU